UCAGUCUCGCCGAUUGACGCGCCGAUCGUGGACGGGUUUUUUCGUAGCUCUCGUAGCAACUGCGUGUGUGUGUGGUUCAUUAUCGCCAUCCUGUCAGUUAUCAGUGGUGGAAGGUUUUCUGCACUACCAAAACUCCACCGACCAGUGCUGCCAGUGUUGCCGAUCUCACCAUCCUGUCACUGUGCUGCGAGUGAGUCCUGUAAAAAAAUGUGAAUAAAAAUAACGCGUGAAAGUGUACCGAAACGGCCGGAAAAUGUCAUCCGUUUGGCCGUCACGACGCCACGGUCCUUUAGAAGUCCCAGUAGUAGACAACAGCCGCAGGAAUAGAUACCAAGCAGAAGCAACCGAAAGCAGCAGCAGCAGCACCUCUGCAGUGUAGUGAAAUGUGGUAAAAAGUGGUGAAAGGCAAUGUUUGCGAAACAAGCGAGCUAGAUUGUGUUUCACGGUGGUAGUCAGCGCGACUCAGUGCCAUAUUUUCCGGCAAGUUGUCGGUCAUUGUUAGCACAAAAAACCUGCCUCACGGUGAUCGAUUGUAUUUGUGUCGUGCGCGCCAGGUUCGCGAGUGUGUAUGUAUAUUUAUGAGUAAGUGUUCGGGGGUGCUGGGGUGCCGGUACGUGGUGUGCUUUUUAGUUUUGCUGGUUGCCCCUCGUCGGGAAGGAAUGGUAAAUUGGCAUUUUUGGAGCGUGUGCGGCAUUAGUUAUUUUCGGUGGAGUGAAUAAAAAAUAAACCAACACAAAAACGCAACAUCCAUAUUUCGGACGAGCGCUCGGACGGACGGAUGGGUUGUUUGCAAUAACGUGUAGUGAGGGCGGGAUAGAGAGUGCGCGAAAGGGAACGCAAGAGAAGACAGCGAGAGCAAUUGUAGCGCAGUGUCUCAUCGUCUGCUGCCCAGCAUAGCUUCAAACCCAACGUGCAGGGGAAAACUUCAAACCGAAACCAUUGCACUUGCAAAUGGUACGUACUGCUUGCUUACUCUACAGCAACAAAUAAUCGUUUUAAACACACAAAAGAAAUAACUUGUGCAAACAAACGCUGCCGGGGCAUCCAUUAUGUGCUUAAAAACGAUGCGAACUGAUUAAUGCGAAACAUUGUUUUCCGCACUGUGUAACUUUCGCAUUUUCCACGUCCCUACCAUCGUCCAAUCGACCCAAACCGGUGUCUCGAGGAGCGCAGUCUGCAUUCAACAUUACCGCCAGGCUAUUGCAAACCAUUCCAGCC